AUUGAACGCUGGCGGCAGGCCUAACACAUGCAAGUCGAACGGUAACAUGACUAGCUUGCUAGUUGAUGACGAGUGGCGGACGGGUGAGUAACGCGUAGGAAUCUACCCAGUAGCGGGGGAUAAGCCAGAGAAAUUUGGUCUAAUACCGCAUACGCCCUACGGGGGAAAGCAGGGGAUCUUCGGACCUUGCACUAUUGGAUGAGCCUGCGUGAGAUUAGCUUGUUGGUGAGGUAAUGGCUCACCAAGGCAACGAUCUCUAGCUGGUCUGAGAGGAUGAUCAGCCACACUGGAACUGAGACACGGUCCAGACUCCUACGGGAGGCAGCAGUGGGGAAUAUUGCACAAUGGGCGCAAGCCUGAUGCAGCCAUGCCGCGUGUGUGAAGAAGGCCCUAGGGUUGUAAAGCACUUUCAGCAGUGAGGAAAGGUGCGUAGUUAAUACCUGCGUACUGUGACGUUAACUGCAGAAGAAGCACCGGCUAACUCCGUGCCAGCAGCCGCGGUAAUACGGAGGGUGCAAGCGUUAAUCGGAAUUACUGGGCGUAAAGCGCGCGUAGGUGGAUUGGUCAGUCAGAUGUGAAAGCCCAGGGCUCAACCUUGGAACUGCACCUGAUACUGCCAGUCUAGAAUACGGUAGAGGGUAGUGGAAUUUCCUGUGUAGCGGUGAAAUGCGUAGAUAUAGGAAGGAACACCAGUGGCGAAGGCGACUACCUGGACCGAUAUUGACACUGAGGUGCGAAAGCGUGGGGAGCAAACGGGAUUAGAUACCCCGGUAGUCCACGCCGUAAACGAUGUCUACUAGCUGUAGGGGUACUUGAGACCUUUGUAGCGUAGCUAACGCAAUAAGUAGACCGCCUGGGGAGUACGGCCGCAAGGUUA
rnacentral:rRNA from 1 species